rnacentral:rRNA from 1 species
CAUGGUUGUCGUCAGCUCGUGUCGUGAGAUGUUGGGUUAAGUCCCGCAACGAGCGCAACCCUCGUCCUAUGUUGCCAGCGGGUCAUGCCGGGGACUCAUGGGAGACUGCCGGGGUCAACUCGGAGGAAGGUGGGGAUGACGUCAAAUCAUCAUGCCCCUUAUGUCUUGGGCUUCACGCAUGCUACAAUGGCCGGUACAAAGGGCUGCGAUACCGCGAGGUGGAGCGAAUCCCAGAAAGCCGGUCUCAGUUCGGAUUGGGGUCUGCAACUCGACCCCAUGAAGUCGGAGUCGCUAGUAAUCGCAGAUCAGCAACGCUGCGGUGAAUACGUUCCCGGGCCUU